GCAAACUUGGUCAUUUAGAGGAAGUAAAAGUCGUAACAAGGUUUCCGUAGGUGAACCUGCGGAAGGAUCAUUACCAAUCUUUAGCGGACCUCGGCUUGUCCAUGGUCUCGCGAAACUUUGUAUUUAAAACCCACUCAUAAAGUUAUAAAUAUACUCAUCAUUAUUGUAAUAAUAAAGAUCACUUUCAACAACGGAUCUCUUGGCUCUCAGAUGUGUAUAAGAGACAGGCAAACUUGGUCAUUUAGAGGAAGUAAAAGUCGUAACAAGGUUUCCGUAGGUGAACCUGCGGAAGGAUCAUUACCAAUCUUUAGCGGACCUCGGCUUGUCCAUGGUCUCGCGAAACUUUGUAUUUAAAACCCACUCAUAAAGUUAUAAAUAUACUCAUCAUUAUUGUAAUAAUAAAGAUCACUUUCAACAACGGAUCUCUUGGCUCUCGCAUCGAUGAAGAACGCAGC
rnacentral:misc_RNA from 1 species